CCUACGGGAGGCAGCAGUGGGGAAUAUUGCGCAAUGGGCGAAAGCCUGACGCAGCGACGCCGCGUGAGGGAUGAAGGUCUUCGGAUCGUAAACCUCUGUCAGCAGGGAAGAACGGUCACUGUGCUAAUCAGCAGUGAAUUGACGGUACCUGCAAAGGAAGCACCGGCUAACUCCGUGCCAGCAGCCGCGGUAAUACGGAGGUUGCGAGCGUUAAUCGGAAUUACGUGGCGUAGAGCGCUCGUAGGCGGUAUGUCAAGUCAAGGGUGAAAUCCCCUCGCUCAACGUGGGAACUGCCGGUGAAACUAGCAAACUGGAGUGUGUGAGAGGAUAGUAGAAUUCCGGGUGAAGGAGUGAAAUCCGUAGAUAUCUGGGGGAACAUCAGUGGCGAAGGCGACUAUCUGGCACAUAACUGACGCUGAGGAGCGAAAGCGUGAGUAGCAAACAGGAUUAGAUACCCUAGUAGUC
rnacentral:rRNA from 1 species